CGGCUACACAUGCAGUCGAGCGGAUGAAGGGAGCUUGCUCCUGGAUUCAGCGGCGGACGGGUGAGUAAUGCCUAGGAAUCUGCCUGGUACUGGGGGACAACGUUUCGAAAGGAACCCUAAUACCGCAUACGUCCUACUGGAGAAAGCAGGGGACCUUCGGGCCUUGCGCUAUCCGAUGAGCCUAGGUCGGAUUACCUAGUUGGUGAGGUAAUGGCUCACCAAGGCGACGAUCCGUAACUGGUCUGACAUGAUGAUCAGUCACACUGGAACUGAGACACGGUCCAUACUCCUACGGGAGGAAGCAGUGGGGAAUAUUGGACAAUGGGCGAAAGCCUGAUCCAGCCAUGCCGCGUGUGUGAAGAAGGUCUUCUGAUUGUAAAGCUCUUUAAGUUGGGAGGAAGGGUUGUAGAUUAAUACUCUGCAAUUUUGACGUUACCGACCGAAUAAGCACCGGCUAACUCUGUGCCAGCAGCCUCGGUAAUACAGAGGGUGCAAGCGUUAAUCGGAAUUACUGGGCGUAAAGCGCGCGUAGGUGGUUCGUUAAGUUGGAUGUGAAAUCCCCGGGCUCAACCUGGGAACUGCAUUCAAAACUGUCGAGCUAGAGUAUGGUAGAGGGUGGUGGAAUUUCCUGUGUAGCGGUGAAAUGCGUAGAUAUAAGAAGGAACACCAGUGGCGAAGGCGACCACCUGGACUGAUACUGACACUGAGGUGCUAAAGCGUGGGGAGCAAACCGGAUUAGAUACCCUGGUAGUCCACGCCGUAAACGAUGUCAACUAGCCGUUGGGAGCCUUGAGCUCUUAGUGGCGCAGCUAACGCAUUAAGUUGACCGCCUGGGGAGUACGGCCGCGAGGUUUAAACUCAAAUGGAUUGACGGGGGCCCGCACAAGCGGUGGAGCAUGUGGUUUAAUUCCAAGCAACGCGAAGAACCUUACCAGGCCUUGACAUCCCAUGAACUUUCCUGAGAUGGAUUGGUGCCUUCGGGAACAUUGAGACAGGUGCUGCAUGGCUGUCGUCAGCUCGUGU
rnacentral:rRNA from 1 species